rnacentral:rRNA from 1 species
CCUACGGGAGGCAACAGUGAGGAAUAUUGGUCAAUGGACGAGAGUCUGAACCAGCCAAGUAGCGUGAAGGAUGACUGCCCUAUGGGUUGUAAACUUCUUUUAUAUGGGAAUAAAACGUUCCACGUGUGGGAUUUUGUAUGUACCAUAUGAAUAAGGAUCGGCUAACUCCGUGCCAGCAGCCGCGGUAAUACGGAGGAUCCGAGCGUUAUCCGGAUUUAUUGGGUUUAAAGGGAGCGUAGGUGGAUUGUUAAGUCAGUUGUGAAAGUUUGCGGCUCAACCGUAAAAUUGCAGUUGAAACUGGCAGUCUUGAGUACAGUAGAGGUGGGCGGAAUUCGUGGUGUAGCGGUGAAAUGCUUAGAUAUCACGAAGAACUCCGAUUGCGAAGGCAGUUCACUGGACUGCAACUGACACUGAGGCUCGAAAGUGUGGGUAUCAAACAGGAUUAGAUACCCCGGUAGUC